GGGGCUGACAUGGCUUCGACGGAGAUUCGGAGGUGCCUGUGGCAGGCCGAGGAGUAUGGACCUCGUCAAAACUAUGCAAAACCACAAUUGCCAACAGCAAUGUGAUCAAGGUGGACUUCGCUCGCAAGAGCGUUGCUCCCCUCGCCUUAGCGGCCUAAUCCGCUUAGCUAAGCCGUCCCCCCCGUCGCGCCCAUAAGCGGGGUCAGGGCGUCAUUACUUGGGCUAGCGAGCGCCGGUGCUUAGGACGGCGUGAGCGAAACAACUCUUAGGCUGGUCCAGGGACGAUCCUGUCGGCGGGGUCGAACUGGAUAAGAAUAAAUACACCGAAUAAGCCUGUAGAAGCAUGUAUCGAAGGUCUUCGGACGCGGGUUCGAUUCCCGCCAGCUCCACAA
rnacentral:tmRNA from 1 species